rnacentral:rRNA from 1 species
UACGAAGGGGGCUAGCGUUGUUCGGAAUUACUGGGCGUAAAGCGUGCGCAGGCGGUUUGCUAAGACAGGUGUGAAAUCCCCGGGCUUAACCUGGGAACUGCGCUUGUUACUGGCAAGCUGGAGUGUGGCAGAGGGGGGUGGAAUUCCACGUGUAGCAGUGAAAUGCGUAGAGAUGUGGAGGAACACCGAUGGCGAAGGCAGCCCCCUGGGCUAACACUGACGCUCAUGCACGAAAGCGUGGGGAGCAAACAGG